GCUGGCGGCGUGCUUAACACAUGCAAGUCGAGCGAAGCACUUAUGAUGAUUCUUCGGAUGAAUCAUUUGUGACUGAGCGGCGGACGGGUGAGUAACGCGUGAGUAACCUGCCUCAUACAGGGGAAUAACAGUUAGAAAUGACUGCUAAUGCCGCAUAAGCGCACAGGGCCGCAUGGCCCGGUGUGAAAAACUCCGGUGGUAUGAGAUGGACUCGCGUCUGAUUAGCUAGUUGGCAGGGUAACGGCCUACCAAGGCGACGAUCAGUAGCCGGCCUGAGAGGGUGAACGGCCACAUUGGGACUGAGACACGGCCCAAACUCCUACGGGAGGCAGCAGUGGGGAAUAUUGCACAAUGGGGGAAACCCUGAUGCAGCGACGCCGCGUGAGUGAAGAAGUAUUUCGGUAUGUAAAGCUCUAUCAGCAGGGAAGAGAAUGACGGUACCUGACUAAGAAGCCCCGGCUAACUACGUGCCAGCAGCCGCGGUAAUACGUAGGGGGCAAGCGUUAUCCGGAUUUACUGGGUGUAAAGGGAGCGUAGACGGCUUUGCAAGUCUGACGUGAAACUCCGGGGCUCAACUCCGGAACUGCGUUGGAAACUGUAAGGCUUGAGUGCCGGAGAGGUAAGCGGAAUUCCUAGUGUAGCGGUGAAAUGCGUAGAUAUUAGGAGGAACACCAGUGGCGAAGGCGGCUUACUGGACGGCAACUGACGUUGAGGCUCGAAAGCGUGGGGAGCAAACAGGAUUAGAUACCCUGGUAGUCCACGCGGUAAACGAUGAAUACUAGGUGUUGGGGGACAAAGUCCUUCGGUGCCGCCGCAAACGCAUUAAGUAUUCCACCUGGGGAGUACGUUCGCAAGAAUGAAACUCAAAGGAAUUGACGG
rnacentral:rRNA from 1 species